rnacentral:rRNA from 1 species
GAAUUGUUCGCACUGGGCGCAAGCCUGACGACGCAACGCCGCGUGGAGGAUGAAGAUCUUCGGGUCGUAAACUCCUUUCGAUCGCGACGAACGGCCUCCGGGUCAACAAUCCGGGGGAGUGACGGUACCGAGAGAAGCAGCCCCGGCCAACUCCGUUCCAGCAGUCGCGGUAAUACGGGGGGGGCAAGCGUUGUUCGGAAUUACUGGGCGUAAAGGGCUCGUAGGCGGCCAACUAAGUCGGACGUGAAAUCCCUCGGCUUAACCGGGGAACUGCGUCCGAUACUGGAUGGCUUGAGAUCGGGAGAGGGAUGCGGAAUUCCAGGUGUAGCGGUGAAAUGCGUAGAUAUCUGGAGGAACACCGGUGGCGAAGGCGGCAUCCUGGACCGACACUGACGCUGAGGAGCGAAAGCCAGGGGAGCAAACGGG